CCUCUUUGUCAAAGAGUCCCCACCCUAAAGGAAAAACAGAGGGAAAAAGCACAUUUCUCACUAUGCAGUUCUUUCACCAUGUUACGAUCUAAAUACAAUAUGGAGUCUUAAAAACAGAAAGAUAUCCAAAACUAAAUAAAAAGCACAAACAUCUAGCCCAUCACAGUGUCUGUAGGCUUGGGCAUGCAAUUUGAUUAAUUAAACAUGCAUAUGAAGUUAUUACUUGGAAUCUCCCCUCAGUUUAAGACCAAUAAUAAUGGAGCAACAGCUGACUUAUGCACUGAUUCCAUAAACCCGUAAUGACAAGUAUGUAACUUGAGUUGCAAUGCCAUUUGCACUUCCUUCAGUAAGCAGAGCUA
rnacentral:misc_RNA from 1 species